GGCUGCAGAAGCUUGAAAAGUUAGAUAGAGCAGGGACAGUAAAAACAGUGGGAUAAUACUUCUAUGGUGUCCAACAUGUCUAGUCAGGUUGACAGAAGUGGAAGAUGGUCUGAUGGUACAAUGAUGUACAAAUGAUACUCUUUAACAAGUUUAACAUGUCAAGGUGUAAAAUGUUCUGUGGAUUCAUAUGAUGAGAAUGCCAGUGUUGAUCUGUAUGACUUAAUUAAACACAGAUAUUGAAACCUUCAGAUAUAUACCUGUGAAAUCUUCAGUGUCACCGUUCAGCUAUUGUUCAAGAUCAGUGUCUGCAGCUUGCACAGUUUAGUAUAGAGGAGCCUUCUGAAUCAACUUUGUUACAUAUUUGCUGUUAUUGUAGGACACACAUGUAGAGAGCAGCAAGUCCUAUCCAGCCGUGCAUGUAAAUGUGAUUCAGAAACUCUGAGAAUAUGUAAACAUUACACUGUUAUAAUUUUCAAAAUACUGUGUCUUGUAGUGUAUCAAUACUGUUUUGUCUCAGUUUAUAGCACAGUAUGUUCACAAAUCAAACUUAAGACCAUAGUGACCAGUAUUAUUAAAAUCAAUAAUUAUUUGUAUGGUGACAAAAUUUAAUUUCAUGCAAUACCACAGUAAAACGUUUGAUAAUUUUCGCUUUUAAAGUUUAAGUUUAAUGUUGGCAUAAAUUGUGUUUUUUUCUUUCAUAAAUCUAAAAAGUGAUUGGUCAUUACAACUGCAAUAUCAUUUUAGUAUGACAAAGUUUAUAUUGAACUAAAACACUAACGUAAAUUUUUUAACUAAUCAAUGCAUUUUCUUCAGUCUUAAAACAUUAUGUACGUGUCAUGGCCCAUAACUCCUCCAUAUUACUUGUGUUUUGUCCUUUUUCAUUUCACUGAAGAAUAGGUAUAGGUAUUGCACAUCCAUUUUUUAGCAUCCUGAUUUUGUAAAGUGUUGUAUGUAAGGUUUUAUCUCAGAAUUAUGUCUCAUCUAAAGGUGGGGAGAGGUAUUGUUUAUGCCUUCUUGUCUAUCUGCAUUAAGCCUGUGUGGCUUUAAGAGGACAAGCUGCUGGCCAGAUUUUGAUGAAACUUCACAGGACUGAUCAGUCCCAAGCAUAGUGUUGUGCAUAUCGCUUGCAGGUUUCGUUUUGAUGUCCUAAAUUGCAGCCAGAGCUAAAAAUAGAAAAAUAUUGUGCGCUUUCACAGGUUAAAACUACUGAACAGAUUUUGAUGAAACUUCACAGAAGUGAUCAGUACCAAGUAUAUUUUUUGCAUAUCACCGACACUUUCCAGUUUGCUGCACAAAAUAGCCGCCAUAGCUAAAGGUAUACAUAGGUGGGAGACAUGUUUUGUCAUAAAAAUACCUAAAACACCUUCCAGAUUGUUAAUGAAAAAUGUAUCAAACUUCUUACAAUUGCAAACUGUAAUAAUUUGACAUUAAAUGCACUAGUUCCAUAACUGCAUUUGGCUUUUUAGCUCAC